rnacentral:rRNA from 1 species
GUAGGGAGCGAGCGUUAUCCGGAUUUAUUGGGUGUAAAGGGUGCGUAGACGGGAAGUUAAGUUAGUUGUGAAAUCCCAAGGCUCAACUUUGGAACUGCAACUAAAACUAAUUUUCUUGAGUACUGGAGAGGAAAGUGGAAUUCCUAGUGUAGCGGUGAAAUGCGUAGAUAUUAGGAGGAACACCAGUGGCGAAGGCGACUUUCUGGACAGAAACUGACGUUGAGGCACGAAAGUGUGGGGAGCAAA